rnacentral:rRNA from 1 species
GACGAGGGAUCCUAGCGUUGCUCGGAAUCAUUGGGCGUAAAGCGGGUGUAGGUGGCUUGACAAGUCAGGUGUGAAAGCCCAGGGCUCAACCCUGGAAGUGCAUUUGAAACUGUCGAGCUUGAGUGCUAGAGAGGUUAUUAGAAUACCUAGUGUAGUGGUGAAAUACGUAGAUAUUAGGUGGAACACCGGAGGCGAAGGCGGAUAACUGGCUAGACACUGACACUGAGACCCGAAAGUGUGGGGAUCAAACAGG